rnacentral:snoRNA from 11 species
AGAGCGGGGAUUGUGUGUAUCGGUGUUGUGCUACAAUCAAUGCACUCUUCCGAAAGAGUUCCCUGCAAUAUUGUCUUGAGAAAGUGGGCAGUUGUGUUUUCAUCUUUUGUUGAAAUCACAACAAUCAUUUUCCCUACAUCU